rnacentral:rRNA from 1 species
UACGAGGGGGGCGAGCGUUGUUCGGAAUUAUUGGGCGUAAAGGGUGCGUAGGCGGUUUGGUAAGUCUCUUGUGAAAUCUAUGGGCUCAACUCAUAGUCUGCAAGGGAAACUGCCGGGCUUGGGUGUGGGAGAGGUGAGUGGAAUUUCCGGUGUAGCGGUGAAAUGCGUAGAUAUCGGAAGGAACACCUGUGGCGAAAGCGGCUCACUGGACCACAACUGACGCUGAUGCACGAAAGCUAGGGGAGCAAACAGG